rnacentral:rRNA from 1 species
AUUGAACGCUGGCGGCAUGCCUUACACAUGCAAGUCGAACGGUAACGGGCCUUCGGGUGCCGACGAGUGGCGCACGGGUGAGUAAUACAUCGGAACGUGCCCGAUCGUGGGGGAUAACGAGGCGAAAGCUUUGCUAAUACCGCAUACGAUCUACGGAGGAAAGCAGGGGACCGCAAGGCCUUGCGCGGACGGAGCGGCCGAUGGCGGAUUAGGUAGUUGGUGGGAUAAAAGCUUACCAAGCCGACGAUCUGUAGCUGGUCUGAGAGGAUGAUCAGCCACACUGGGACUGAGACACGGCCCAGACUCCUACGGGAGGCAGCAGUGGGGAAUUUUGGACAAUGGGCGCAAGCCUGAUCCAGCCAUGCCGCGUGCAGGAUGAAGGCCUUCGGGUUGUAAACUGCUUUUGUACGGAACGAAAAGCCUUCUUUUAAUACAGGAGGGUCAUGACGGUACCGGAAGAAUAAGCACCGGCUAACUACGUG